rnacentral:rRNA from 1 species
UACGAGAGGCCCAAACGUUAUUCGGAAUUACUGGGCUUAAAGAGUCCGUAGGCGGCGCAGAAAGUAGGGUGUGAAAGCCCUCGGCUCAACCGAGGAAUUGCGCUCUAAACUACUGUGCUUGAGGAACCUAGAGGUGAGCGGAACUGAUGGUGGAGCGGUGAAAUGCGUUGAUAUCAUCAGGAACACCGGAGGCGAAGGCGGCUCACUGGGGGUUAUCUGACGCUGAGGGACGAAAGCCAGGGGAGCGAACGGG